AGUGAACGCUGGCGGUAGGCCUAACACAUGCAAGUCGAACGGCAGCACAGUAAGAGCUUGCUCUUACGGGUGGCGAGUGGCGGACGGGUGAGGAAUACAUCGGAAUCUACUUUUUCGUGGGGGAUAACGUAGGGAAACUUACGCUAAUACCGCAUACGACCUACGGGUGAAAGCAGGGGAUCUUCGGACCUUGCGCGAUUGAAUGAGCCGAUGUCGGAUUAGCUAGUUGGCGGGGUAAAGGCCCACCAAGGCGACGAUCCGUAGCUGGUCUGAGAGGAUGAUCAGCCAAACUGGAACUGAGACACGGUCCAGACUCCUACGGGAGGCAGCAGUGGGGAAUAUUGGACAAUGGGCGCAAGCCUGAUCCAGCCAUACCGCGUGGGUGAAGAAGGCCUUCGGGUUGUAAAGCCCUUUUGUUGGGAAAGAAAAGCAGCAGGUGAAUACCCCGCUGUUCUGACGGUACCCAAAGAAUAAGCACCGGCUAACUUCGUG
rnacentral:rRNA from 1 species